UACAGAGGGGGCAAGCGUUAUUCGGAAUUACUGGGCGUAAAGCGCGCGUAGGCGGCUUUGCAAGUUAGAGGUGAAAGCCCGGAGCUUAACUCCGGAACUGCCUUUAAAACUGCAUCGCUAGAAUCCGGGAGAGGUGAGUGGAAUUCCGAGUGUAGAGGUGAAAUUCGUAGAUAUUCGGAAGAACACCAGUGGCGAAGGCGGCUCACUGGACCGGUAUUGACGCUGAGGUGCGAAAGCGUGGGGAGCAAACAGG
rnacentral:rRNA from 1 species